rnacentral:rRNA from 1 species
ACGCUGGCGGCAGGCCUAACACAUGCAAGUCGAGCGGUAGAGAGAAGCUUGCUUCUCUUGAGAGCGGCGGACGGGUGAGUAAUGCCUAGGAAUCUGCCUGGUAGUGGGGGAUAACGUUCGGAAACGGACGCUAAUACCGCAUACGUCCUACGGGAGAAAGCAGGGGACCUUCGGGCCUUGCGCUAUCAGAUGAGCCUAGGUCGGAUUAGCUAGUUGGUGAGGUAAUGGCUCACCAAGGCGACGAUCCGUAACUGGUCUGAGAGGAUGAUCAGUCACACUGGAACUGAGACACGGUCCAGACUCCUACGGGAGGCAGCAGUGGGGGAUAUUGGACAAUGGGCGAAAGCCUGAUCCAGCCAUGCCGCGUGUGUGAAGAAGGUCUUCGGAUUGUAAAGCACUUUAAGUUGGGAGGAAGGGCAGUUACCUAAUACGUGAUUGUUUUGACGUUACCGACAGAAUAAGCACCGGCUAACUCUGUGCCAGCAGCCGCGGUAAUACAGAGGGUGCAAGCGUUAAUCGGAAUUACUGGGCGUAAAGCGCGCGUAGGUGGUUUGUUAAGUUGGAUGUGAAAUCCCCGGGCUCAACCUGGGAACUGCAUUCAAAACUGACUGACUAGAGUAUGGUAGAGGGUGGUGGAAUUUCCUGUGUAGCGGUGAAAUGCGUAGAUAUAGGAAGGAACACCAGUGGCGAAGGCGACCACCUGGACUGAUACUGACACUGAGGUGCGAAAGCGUGGGGAGCAAACAGGA